rfam:Aedes albopictus isolate Foshan contig45214, whole genome shotgun sequence.
UGUUCUAAGGCUUAGUUGGUUAAAGCGACGGUCUAGCGAAUACGGAGUCGUGGGUUCCAAUCCCACUAGAACGC